GAUGAACGCUGGCGGCGUGCUUAACACAUGCAAGUCGAACGGGAAACUUUUCAUUGAAGCUUCGGCAGAUUUGGUCUGUUUCUAGUGGCGGACGGGUGAGUAACGCGUGGGUAACCUGCCUUAUACAGGGGGAUAACAACCAGAAAUGGUUGCUAAUACCGCAUAAGCGCACAGGACCGCAUGGUCCGGUGUGAAAAACUCCGGUGGUAUAAGAUGGACCCGCGUUGGAUUCGCUAGUUGGCAGGGUAACGGCCUACCAAGGCGACGAUCCAUAGCCGGCCUGAGAGGGUGAACGGCCACAUUGGGACUGAGACACGGCCCAGACUCCUACGGGAGGCAGCAGUGGGGAAUAUUGCACAAUGGGGGAAACCCUGAUGCAGCGACGCCGCGUGAAGGAAGAAGUAUCUCGGUAUGUAAACUUCUAUCAGCAGGGAAGAUAGUGACGGUACCUGACUAAGAAGCCCCGGCUAACUACGUGCCAGCAGCCGCCGUAA
rnacentral:rRNA from 1 species